rnacentral:tRNA from 1 species
UCGUGGCGGAAUUGGUAGACGCACCAGAUUUAGGUUCUGGCGCCGCAAGGUGUGAGAGUUCAAGUCUCUCCGA